rnacentral:rRNA from 1 species
UACGUAGGGCGCAAGCGUUGUCCGGAAUUAUUGGGCGUAAAGAGCUCGUAGGCGGUCUGUCGCGUCGGAUGUGAAAGCCCGGGGCUUAACCCCGGGUCUGCAUUCGAUACGGGCAGACUAGAGUGCGGUAGGGGAGACUGGAAUUCCUGGUGUAGCGGUGAAAUGCGUAGAUAUCUGGAGGAACACCGGUGGCGAAGGCGGCAUCCUGGACCGGCAUUGACGCUGAGGAGCGAAAGCCAGGGGAGCAAACGGGG